CUCCCGUUCCGCGCGCUCUAGUUCCGAAAGUACCUUUUUUAGACCGGACUGGGGCUCAGAGGGGUUUCCAUGACUACGGGACUCCUCCGACCGGUACCCUGCAGAUGCUUGUCAGAAAUUGGCUUGGAGGCCGGGCUCGGUGGCUGACGCCUGUAAUCCCAGCACUUUGGGAGGCCGAGGCGGGCGGAUCACGAGGUCAGAAGAUCGAGACCAUCCUAGCUAACACGGUGAAACCCCGUCUCUACUAAAAAUACAAAAAAAAAAAAAAAAAAAAAAUUAGCCGGGAGUGGUGGCGGGCGCCUGUUGUCCCAGCUACUCGGGAGGCUGAGGCAGGAGAAUGGCGUGAACCCGGGAGGCAGGGCUUGCAAUGAGCCAAGAUCGCGCCACUGCACUCCAGCCUGGGCGACAGAGCGAGACUCCGUCUCAGAAAAAAAAAAAAAGAAAGAAAUUGGCUUGGAGAUUUUUCGCCGGCCACUCCUUCUUGAGCCCUGACUGAAAAGUGAGUUCUCAAUUUGUGCUUCCAGAAAGUUUGUCCUCCCAGAGUUUGUUCCUGGACAGGGCUGAAGGUACUCUGUUCCGUACUAGAGUUUCAGAUUCGGGCUGGAGUUGGAGAGGGUAUGCUGUGGAUGGCAGUAGCAGAAACCGCUAGUUCUAAGGCACCCUUCUACUCUUCUAAAAUCUUUCCCCAGGCACAAAACCACCCGGAAUAAAGGCUACGUUCCCUAGCAUUCCUUGCAGUUGGCUGUGGCUCUGUGAUUGCAAUCUGGUCAGUGGAAUAUAAGGCAGCUUUCCCUACUUAAGUGACAGCUGGCUGUACUCUUGGUUCCUUUUUCUCCCUUUUUCCCAGUGUGAAUCCUCUCAUGGAUCAUGAGGCACCUCGCCCCACUAGAAGAGUAAUUUUGGAGUUUAACUGAAUCAUGUAAAAUAUAAUCUGCCUAAGAGUGACCGGGUUGAAAUGAGACACCCCAAGAUUUUCUGAAACCUUGAAGUCAAGAAGCUGGAGAAUAAAAUGGCCAUUUAAAAAUCUGUGAUCACUUUUCAGUCAUCCAGGAAGUGAAGGCUUGACUUUCACAGUUGGGCAGAUUGGGAAAACCAUCUCUAGGGCCUUUGAGUUAUGCAAAUAUAAAGCAAAUCCUCACCCUUGGCCCUUAGGGAAAACCUUGAAGUCACCUGAAUGUAUGUUUUAUCCUGAGAACAAAACAUUUCUGUUCAGCAGUGAAAAUUGGGGGUAUGCUUUAGCAGAGGUAGUUUUCUGAAGACUUUGGGCUUGGGGAGAAAUGUUAAUUUUUUUGUUUGGAUUUAGAUUCCGUUGUGCUGGUAUAUUAUUUCUUAUUCCUAGUCUGUGUACAUAUGUGCGUUAUAUAUGUGCAUGUGUGUGUGUGUAUUCGUGUAAAGAAAUGUAUUCAAGCAUUUGUUCAGAGAAGAUCAGGAGCUGAAACCUAGUCGUUGGAUAUUUUAAUCUGGGUUCCCUGAUAGCAGAGCCUCAGAUGAGGUUGAUAGGUGAGGGAUUUAUCCAGAAAUGAACAGGGAAGGAAGGAGAAUUAAUACCAAUAUGUGCUAUUGAGUUGGCCAUUGCAAGGGGUGACUGAUUGUUCAGUCCUCAGGAGUUUCUGAGAAGCCUUGUGAAGCUCUCAAAACCCUUCUUCUGAGGAACAGAGAGGAAAAGCAUUUAUCUGUCAGCUUUUGAAGUCUAUUGUCAAAAGUUGACCACAAGGCAUUAAUUCACUGGUGUUCCUGUGUUGAGCAUGCAUCUGUGCUUGGUUCCUGGAGGAGUCCUAUGUUGCAUAGUCAAAGAAGCCCUGAGGCAAAAGUGAGGAAACUAGGUGCAUAUCUGAGGCAAGGCUCUCACCAGUUAUACCUGUGCUAAGCUAGUAGAUGCCUGUGAUAAACUAGUUGCUGUAGCAAUGGCUAGAGUAAGAAUGUAAGACCAAGAGUAUGUGAAGUAGUACUAAAGAGCUGUCUUACACAUUGGGCUAGAAGGAUGUGAGGCCUGGUCAUUUCCACAAUGCACGUUCGAAGAGACUGGAAAGGAUCUGGGUUUGGUGUGGUUCACUUUAAGUUGCAAUAUGGAUGACCUACAUAUUGUGUUAUUCAGGGUGGAAUGGCCCAGGAAUUGUAAAAUACAGUAUACUGAUGCCGGUCUGUUCAGUUCUGGUAGAAUAUACUGUUUUGGAUCAGUGUGGUUCCUUUAAGGAAAUGGACAUCCCUACUCUGCAGUGAUCACCAACUGAAGGAAACGUAUCUCAAGCUCUGAGGGAGGCCUUUGAAGGCACCCUGCAUUGGCUUGAGUUUAGACAGUAGCACUCCUGCUCCCACCUCCCACCCUGAAACUGUGGAAACACAGCAUGGCAAAAGCUCUCUUCCAAGAAAAUCUUCUGUCUCCUCCUCAAUUCUCUGCAUUUUCAUAGUCCUGCAGUGACUGAGGGGCUUUAAGGGGUGCUAAGCACGUUCACAGCCAUUUCCUUUGUUAGAUUCUGCAUCGGAUGAUCUGGAACCUCAGUGGAAUUUCACUCCUUUCAUGUGUGGAAACCUCUCAAGACUUCACUUUUAUCCCUUCAUGAGCGUCUGGGUCAUCCUAACUCACGUAGGCUUGCAUACCCCCACUUCACUCUAAUUCACAUCUUUGAUUAUUUCCUUCGGAAAAUUUACCAUAACCUGCAGUUAUCUUGUUUAUUUGAUGACUUUAUCAUCUGUUUUCCCCUCUAGAAUAUUAACUUUAUGAA
rnacentral:lncRNA from 1 species